rnacentral:misc_RNA from 1 species
GAUGAAGAACGCAGCGAAAUGCGAUAAGUAAUGUGAAUUGCAGAAUUCAGUGAAUCAUCGAAUCUUUGAACGCACAUUGCGCCCGCCAGUAUUCUGGCGGGCAUGCCUGGUCGAGCGUCAUUUCAACCCUCAAGCCCCCGGGCUUGGUGUUGGGGAUCGGCGUGCCCUCGCGGCGCGCCGUCCCCUAAAUCUAGUGGCGGUCUCGCUGUAGCUUCCUCUGCGUAGUAGCAACACUCGCACUGGAUCGCAGCGCGGCCACGCCGUUAAACCCCCCACUUCUGAAAGUUUGACCUCGGAUCAGGUAGGAAUACCCGCUGAACUUAAGCAUAUCAAUAAGCGGAGGA